rnacentral:rRNA from 1 species
GCAUCGAUGAAGAACGUAGCGAAAAUGCGAUACUUGGUGUGAAUUGCAGAAUCCCGUGAACCAUCGAGUCUUUGAACGCAAGUUGCGCCCGAAGCCAUUAGGCCGAGGGCACGUCUGCCUGGGCGUCAC